GAUAAACGCUGGCGGCGUGCUUCAGGCAUGCAAGUCGAACGAGUGUCCACCUUCGGGUGGUCUACUAGUGGCGGACGGGUGAGUAACGCGUUAGCAACCUGCCCAGAAGUGGGGAAUAACUAACCGAAAGGUUAGCUAAUACCGCAUGUGAUAGCCGGUUCUUGGACUGGUUAUGAAAGGCUUCGGUCGCUUCUGGAGGGGCUUGCGUCAGAUUAGCUAGUUGGUGGGGUAAUGGCCUACCAAGGCGACGAUCUGUAGCUGGUC
rnacentral:rRNA from 1 species